GAUGAACGCUGGCGGCGUGCCUAAUACAUGCAAGUCGAGCGAACAGAUGAGGAGCUUGCUCCUCUGACGUUAGCGGCGGACGGGUGAGUAACACGUGGAUAACCUACCUAUAAGACUGGGAUAACUUCGGGAAACCGGAGCUAAUACCGGAUAAUAUAUUGAACCGCAUGGUUCAAUAGUGAAAGACGGUUUUGCUGUCACUUAUAGAUGGAUCCGCGCCGCAUUAGCUAGUUGGUAAGGUAACGGCUUACCAAGGCAACGAUGCGUAGCCGACCUGAGAGGGUGAUCGGCCACACUGGAACUGAGACACGGUCCAGACUCCUACGGGAGGCAGCAGUAGGGAAUCUUCCGCAAUGGGCGAAAGCUUGACGGAGCAACGCCGCGUGAGUGAUGAAGGUCUUCGGAUCGUAAAACUCUGUUAUUAGGGAAGAACAAAUGUGUAAGUAACUAUGCACGUCUUGACGGUACCUAAUCAGAAAGCCACGGCUGACUACGUG
rnacentral:rRNA from 1 species